rnacentral:sRNA from 1 species
UAGGUUAAGAUUAGGUCAUGCUUGUACCC